rnacentral:sRNA from 1 species
CACAGGCCGCGACAGACGCUGGAUGCCCUCCUACCGCCAGACACCUCCCCAGAGGCCUUGGACCUCCUUAGGCAACUCCUGGUGUUCGCCCCGGACAAGCGGUUAAGCGCGACCCAGGCACUGCAGCACCCCUACGUGCAGAGGUUCCACUGCCCCAGUGACGAGUGGGCACGAAAGGCAGAUGUGCGGCUCCGGGCACACGAAGGGGUCCAGCUCGCUGCACCUGAGUACCGCAGCUGCGUCUAUCAGGUGCUCCGGCUCUCGACCCCCAUCAUCCCAUCUACCGCACCCUGGAGGCUGCCUCCUGUGUCAGAGACCCCCAAACACCCCAUGCCCAGGCUGUGACCUCUGAGCACCCUUCACCUCCCACAGAUGAUCCUGGAGCGUGGAGGCAGCAGCGGCACCUCGAGAAAGAAGGGCCCGGAGCGUGUCUCCCGGAGCCAGGCACACGUGCACAAACCCAGAGCCGACCCUCAGCUGCCUUCUGGGACACGUGUGCAGGGUCCCAGACCCAGGCCUCAGAGUAGCCUGGGCCACGACCCCCCCGAGCAUGGUGUGUGAUCUUUGCUGGCUGCCCACGCGGAGCAUGGCCUGGGCCCCUUCUGCCUGUGGCUGCCGACUGUGCGCAGCAUUCGGUUCCUGACCCUGGGGUUGACCUUCUGACCCCACAGAGUCCCCCUGUGCAGCCAAGAACAUUCCCAGGCAGAACUCCGCUCCCCUGCUCCAAACUGCACUCCUAGGGAAUGGGGAAAGGCCCCCUGGGGCGAAGGAAGCGCCCCCCUUGACACUCUCGCUGGUAAGUCAUGGUGGGGCGGGCACGGGAGGGACCCUUCCUCUGCACCUUUCAGUGACCCUGUGACAUGGCCCUUCCCAGGCGAAGCCAAGCGGCAGGGGAGCUGCGCCCUCCCUAACCUCCCAGGCUGCGGCUCAGGUGGCCAACCAGGUCCUGAUCCGGGGUGACUGGAACCGGGGCGGUGGGGUG